UACGUAGGGUGCAAGCGUUGUCCGGAAUUAUUGGGCGUAAAGAGCUUGUAGGCGGUUUGUCGCGUCUGCUGUGAAAUUUCGGGGCUCAACCCCGAACUUGCAGUGGGUACGGGCAGACUAGAGUGUGGUAGGGGAGACUGGAAUUCCUGGUGUAGCGGUGAAAUGCGCAGAUAUCAGGAGGAACACCGGUGGCGAAGGCGGGUCUCUGGGCCGUAACUGACACUGAGGCACGAAAGCGUGGGGAGCAAACAGG
rnacentral:rRNA from 1 species